rnacentral:rRNA from 1 species
CACCGCGGUUAUACGAGAGGCCCAAGUUGAUAAACACCGGCGUAAAGUGUGGUUAGGAUUUUCCCCACUAAAGUUAAACACUCCCAGAACUGUUAUACGCUCCCGGGAGCAGGAAACCCGGCAACGAAAGUGACUUUAAACCUCCGACCCCACGACAGCUAUGACA